UACAGAGACUGCAAGCGUUAUUCGGAUUCACUGGGCGUAAAGGGUGCGCAGGCGGCCAUGUGUGUUAGGCGUGAAAGCCUGAGGCUUAACCUCAGAAUUGCACCUAAAACUACAUGGCUAGAGCAUUGGAGAGGGUAGCGGAAUUCACGGUGUAGCAGUGAAAUGCGUAGAUAUCGUGAGGAACACCAGAGGCGAAGGCGGCUACCUGGACAAUUGCUGACGCUCAGGCACGAAAGCGUGGGGAGCAAAAGGG
rnacentral:rRNA from 1 species